rnacentral:lncRNA from 1 species
GAUACGAGAGCCUUGCGAGGUUUCGAUCAACAUUCGGGGUGAAGAAUAUUUGUCGAGGCUUCGCGGCGGUUGUCACGGGCUCGAUGGGGAGUUCCGGAUCGUGACAUAAUAAGGAUAAUUUUAUUUUUUUAUGAAAAUAAAUGUUAAUAUAAUAAAGGUUAUUUUUAUCUUUUAUCACAUAUUCCUGUUUUAUUCCAAUCUUAUUUUGACCAAUAAAAUACUGUAAUAAAUCAUAAUAGUAAUUUUUACUCUAUUUCAUUCAUUAUACCAAACAAAGUAAACCAAACGUGCUGUAAAAGUUAAGAUUAUUUAGGAUAAUGUG